AUUGAACGCUGGCGGCAGGCUUAACACAUGCAAGUCGAGCGGAGAGAGGUAGCUUGCUACUGAUCUUAGCGGCGGACGGGUGAGUAAUGCUUAGGAAUCUGCCUAUUAGUGGGGGACAACAUUUCGAAAGGAAUGCUAAUACCGCAUACGUCCUAAGGGAGAAAGCAGGGGAUCUUCGGACCUUGCGCUAAUAGAUGAGCCUAAGUCGGAUUAGCUAGUUGGUGGGGUAAAGGCCUACCAAGGCGACGAUCUGUAGCGGGUCUGAGAGGAUGAUCCGCCACACUGGGACUGAGACACGGCCCAGACUCCUACGGGAGGCAGCAGUGGGGAGUAUUGGACAAUGGGCGCAAGCCUGAUCCAGCCAUGCCGCGUGUGUGAAGAAGGCCUUCGGGUUGCAAAGCACUUUCAGCGAGGAGGAAGGGUGGUGUGUUAAUAGCACAUCAUUUUGACGUUACUCGCAGAAGAAGCACCGGCUAACUCUGUGCCAGCAGCCGCCGUAACAC
rnacentral:rRNA from 1 species